rnacentral:lncRNA from 1 species
ACAAGGUCAUGCCAUCCCAAACACACUUGGAUUCUGUGAGAGGAGGAGAGAUAGCAAAGUUAACAAAAUAUGUGAUGUUUCCCAGGGGAUUAUGGAAUGAUAUUGUUUUGUGUGAUGCAUAUUUUUCUUUUUCAUUUAUGUGUAGAAGGUUCUGAAUGACUGUUUUCUACAAUACAGAGCUGGGAGGAAGAAAUGCAUGGCUGGGGGACAAAGAUUUAUAUGCCAAAACCUGCAGGGAACUUAGUGGUGCUGACAGAGUGUGCCCAAAUGGCUGAGAUGGUGUUGGGCAGCCACCCAAGGUCAAGACCUCACCUACUGAAUCAAGGAUCGAGCAAUCAUUCAAGCCUGAGCCAUACAUGGAUCCCUCGUGGUGUGAAGGAGGUGCAGGGAAGCAGGCACUGCGCUGUGACUGCCUGGGACAACAGCCCUUCCCAGCAGCGAUCCCUCAUGUUAACUUUGGCAGAGAAUUGCACAGUUACCUCUGUGGCCUUUGUAAUGACAACCUGAUUAGCACACAGCCUCUGUCAGGGAGUGGGUGCUCAGCUCUUUGGAAGACACAUUUCCAUAGAAAAGGGUAGACAACUGAUUUCAAGAGGCUUAGCACAGCGCUGGGUGCAAGAGCUGAAAUGUACAUGAGGUACGUUGAAUAAUAUGUAUCUGUAUUUCCAUGCAAAGGCAGGUGAGCAGCAACCCAAAUGAAUUUGCUUCAUAUUCAGCACCCUCCAGAAAAGACCUGUAAAAGUAAUUAUGUGUACAUAGUAAUAAUAACUACAUAGUCCAGUAAAUAUUAAAUCUUUCCCCUAAACAUCAGAAGCUUAUCUUCCUCUUAAUGGACUUCUACUGUAAUAGUUAAAAUAAAUGUUCCUCGUCCACAGAUAUUAAAAUCA